AAUGGAAUGUCUGGGUCAUAUGAUAAGGGCAUGCUUAACUUUUAAAGUAAACUAGGAAACACAUUUCUAAUGAGGCUGUACCAUUUUUAUUCCCACCAGCAAU
rnacentral:pre_miRNA from 1 species